rnacentral:rRNA from 1 species
AUUGAACGCUGGCGGCAGGCCUAACACAUGCAAGUCGAGCGGAGCGGCGGACGGGUGGGUAAUGCCUAGGAAGCUGCCUGGUCGUGGGGGAUAACGUCCUGAAACGGGCGAUCAUACCGAAUAAUAUCAGAUGAGCCUAGGUCGGAUUAGCUAGUUGGUGGGGUAAAGGCUUACCAAGGCGACGAUCAGUAACUGGUCUGAGAGGAUGAUCAGUCACACUGGAACUGAGACACGGUCCAGACUCCUACGGGAGGCAGCAGUGGGGAAUAUUGGACAAUGGGCGAAAGCCUGAUCCAGCCAUGCCGCGUGUGUGAAGAAGGUCUUCGGAUUGUAAAGCACUUUAAGUUGGGAGGCGUUACCAACAGAAUAAGCACCGGCUAACUUCGUGCCAGCCGCCGCGGUAAUAC